rnacentral:rRNA from 1 species
UACGGAGGAGGCAAGCGUUAUCCGGAAUGAUUGGGCGUAAAGCGUCCGCAGGUGGCUAUGUAAGUCUGCUGUUAAAGAGUCUGGCUCAACCAGAUAAAGGCAGUGGAAACUACAUGGCUAGAGUGCGUUCGGGGCAGAGGGAAUUCCUGGUGUAGCGGUGAAAUGCGUAGAGAUCAGGAAGAACACCGGUGGCGAAAGCGCUCUGCUAGGCCGCAACUGACACUGAGGGACGAAAGCUAGGGGAGCGAAUGGG